rnacentral:rRNA from 1 species
GACGAACGCUGGCGGCGUGCUUAACACAUGCAAGUCGAACGGAAAGGCCCUGCUUUUGUGGGGUGCUCGAGUGGCGAACGGGUGAGUAACACGUGAGUAACUUGCCCUUGACUUUGGGAUAACUUCAGGAAACUGGGGCUAAUACCGGAUAGGAGCUCCUGCUGCAUGGUGGGGGUUGGAAAGUUUCGGCGGUUGGGGAUGGACUCGCGGCUUAUCAGCUUGUUGGUGGGGUAGUGGCUUACCAAGGCUUUGACGGGUAGCCGGCCUGAGAGGGUGACCGGCCACAUUGGGACUGAGAUACGGCCCAGACUCCUACGGGAGGCAGCAGUGGGGAAUAUUGCACAAUGGGCGGAGGCCUGAUGCAGCAACGCCGCGUGCGGGAUGACGGCCUUCGGGUUGUAAACCGCUUUCGCCUGUGACGAAGCGUGAGUGACGGUAAUGGGUAAAGAAGCACCGGCUAACUACGUG